rnacentral:lncRNA from 10 species
CAUGAGAGACAUGUAAGAGUUUUAAUCAUGGAGUGCAGUAGACUAGCUGGGACGUCUGUGACAGCUUGAUUUCUUCCACAUCUCAGAUUUCCACAGUGUACCCCGGUGUUUUCUCACCUUCAGUCACUCAUAGGCAUCUUAGGGAUAGAACGCAAGGAUCUCACUUAGCCCAGUGGAUGGCAGUCAAUUAAUGGAGCGAGUGGCUUAGUCCUUGUCAUGCUGCCAAGUGCAAGGGCCUUUCCAUGCUCAGAAUCACCAUGAAGACGAGAGCUAUCUCUCUUGGUAGGCUACAGACUCAAAGGGUCUGCAUAUUUAUAUAUGCUGCCAAAAAAAC